AGAGUUUGAUCCUGGCUCAGAACUAACGCUGGCGGCGUGCCUAACACAUGCAAGUCGUACGAGAAAGUUGGCUUCGGCCGAUGAGUAAAGUGGCGCACGGGUGAGUAACGCGUGGAUAAUCUACCCCUCAGUUGGGAAUAACUCAUCGAAAGGUGGGCUAAUACCGAAUAAUACUGCAUGACUUCUGUUGUGUAGUCAAAGAUGGCCUCUGCUUGCAAGCUAUCGCUGAAGGAUGAGUCCGCGUACCAUUAGCUAGUUGGUAGGGUAAUGGCCUACCAAGGCAACGAUGGUUAGCUGGUCUGAGAGGAUGAUCAGCCACACUGGAACUGGGACACGGUCCAGACUCCUACGGGAGGCAGCAGUGAGGAAUAUUGCGCAAUGGGGGCAACCCUGACGCAGCAACGCCGCGUGAGUGAGGAAGGUUUUCGGACCGUAAAGCUCUGUCGAGCGGGAAGAAAUGCAUAGUGGCUAAUAUCCAUUAUGCUUGACGGUACCGCUAAAGGAAGCACCGGCUAACUCCGUGCCAGCAGCCGCGGUAAUACGGGGGGUGCUAACGUUGUUCGGAAUCAUUGGGCGUAAAGAGCGUGUAGGCGGCUGGAUAAGUCAGAUGUGAAAGCCCUGGGCUUAACCUAGGAAGUGCAUUUGAAACUGUUCAGCUUGAGUAAGGGAGAGGAAAGUGGAAUUCCUGGUGUAGAGGUGAAAUUCGUAGAUAUCAGGAGGAACACCGGUGGCGAAGGCGACCUUCUGGCCCUAUACUGACGCUGAGACGCGAGAGCGCGGGUAGCAAACAGGAUUAGAUACCCUGGUAGUCCACGCUGUAAACGAUGUUCACUAGGUGUUGGGGGUAUUGACCCUCUCAGUGCCGCAGCUAACGCAUUAAGUGAACCGCCUGGGGAGUACGGUCGCAAGAUUAAAACUCAAAGGAAUUGACGG
rnacentral:rRNA from 1 species